AUUGAACGCUGGCGGCAGGCUUAACACAUGCAAGUCGAGCGGGGGAAGGUAGCUUGCUACCGGACCUAGCGGCGGACGGGUGAGUAAUGCUUAGGAAUCUGCCUAUUAGUGGGGGACAACAUCUCGAAAGGGAUGCUAAUACCGCAUACGUCCUACGGGAGAAAGCAGGGGAUCUUCGGACCUUGCGCUAAUAGAUGAGCCUAAGUCGGAUUAGCUAGUUGGUGGGGUAAAGGCCUACCAAGGCGACGAUCUGUAGCGGGUCUGAGAGGAUGAUCCGCCACACUGGGACUGAGACACGGCCCAGACUCCUACGGGAGGCAGCAGUGGGGAAUAUUGGACAAUGGGGGGAACCCUGAUCCAGCCAUGCCGCGUGUGUGAAGAAGGCCUUAUGGUUGUAAAGCACUUUAAGCGAGGAGGAGGCUACUUUAGUUAAUACCUAGAGAUAGUGGACGUUACUCGCAGAAUAAGCACCGGCUAACUCUGUGCCAGCAGCCGCGGUAAUACAGAGGGUGCGAGCGUUAAUCGGAUUUACUGGGCGUAAAGCGUGCGUAGGCGGCUUAUUAAGUCGGAUGUGAAAUCCCCGAGCUUAACUUGGGAAUUGCAUUCGAUACUGGUGAGCUAGAGUAUGGGAGAGGAUGGUAGAAUUCCAGGUGUAGCGGUGAAAUGCGUAGAGAUCUGGAGGAAUACCGAUGGCGAAAGCAGCCAUCUGGCCUAAUACUGACGCUGAGUACGAAAGCAUGGGGAGCAAACAGGAUUAGAUACCCUGGUAGUCCAUGCCGUAAACGAUGUCUACUAGCC
rnacentral:rRNA from 1 species